GACGAACGCUGGCGGCAGGCCUAACACAUGCAAGUCGAGCGGAGCGGCGGACGGGUGAGUAAUGCCUAGGAAUCUGCCUGGUAGUGGGGGAUAACGUCCGGAAACGGGCGCUAAUACCGCAUACUAUCAGAUGAGCCUAGGUCGGAGUAGCUAGUUGGUGGGGUAAAGGCCUACCAAGGCUACGAUCAGUAACUGGUCUGAGAGGAUGAUCAGUCAUACUGGAACGGAGAACCGCUCCAGACUCCUACGGGAGGCAGCAGUGGGGAAUAUUUGACAAUGGGCGAAAGCCUGAUCCAGCAAUGCCGCGUGUGUGAGGAAGGUUUUCGGAUUGUAAAGCACUUUAAGUUGGGAGGCGUUACCAACAUAAUAAGCACCGGCUAACUUCGUGCCAGCAGCCGCGGUAAUUC
rnacentral:rRNA from 1 species